rnacentral:rRNA from 1 species
AGGGUUCGAUUCUGGCUCAGGAUGAACGCUAGCGACAGGCUAACACAUGCAAGUCGAGGGGCAGCAUAAAAGUAGCAAUACUUGGUGGCGACCGGCGCACGGGUGAGUAACGCGUAUGCAACCUACCUAUCAGAGGGGAAUAACCCGGCGAAAGUCGGACUAAUACCGCAUAAAACAGGGGCACCGCAUGGUGAUAUUUGUUAAAGAAAUUCGCUGAUAGAUGGGCAUGCGUUCCAUUAGGUAGUUGGUGAGGUAACGGCUCACCAAGCCGACGAUGGAUAGGGGAACUGAGAGGUUGGUCCCCCACACUGGUACUGAGACACGGACCAGACUCCUACGGGAGGCAGCAGUGAGGAAUAUUGGUCAAUGGGCGGGAGCCUGAACCAGCCAAGUCGCGUGAAGGAAAGAAGGAUCUAUGGUUCGUAAACUUCUUUUGCAGGGGAAUAAAGUGCAGGACGUGCCCUGUUUUGUAUGUACCCUGAGAAUAAGGAUCGGCUAACUCCGUGCCAGCAGCUGC